GUCUCAUCUUAAUAAGAUAAGGUAUCCCUGUUUGGUGUAGAUCUUUUCUGAAUGCAGUAACUGAAUUUCUUAGUUCUAUGCACCUGUUUUUUAAACUAACCCGUAUUAUUCAUUGGACCGUCUGCCAUGAGGCCUGGCUCUUCUCCCCGGUAGAAUGAAUCACUGGAAAGGAGGGCGUUUCACGACGAUGACCUCACAGUACCCCUGCGUUGCCCUGGAAACCUGUGCCACACGGUGACCCGCUCCCACUCAAUCUCGUGAACCCUCUGCCGGUUCGAGGAUAAAGACGGAAGGAUGUGUGAGGGACAAAGGGGAAUGAAAAGGGAGGCUCGAUCUGUGAAGGGAUUGGAACGCCUGCGCGUCAAAUUCACCACCAGGAAAAGUGUCUCGUUAAUCGACACCUUUUGAUUAACAUCGGUACGUUUAAGGACAAGGCACUGGAUGUUAUUUCACUGCAGUUCGCCAUUUAGAACAUAGCCACAAAAAUACGACUGACUGUCUACAGCUGGUACUGUUAGGAUUUAAAAUGGUAGGAGGGGAAAACUAAAAAAGACUUGUGAUUUAGAGUUGUUAUUUCAUUUGCUAGCAUCUUACUGAUUGCAAACUGUGCCAAAGAUAGAUGAUAGACAUCCGGGAUAACAUUUUUUAUGUUCUUUUACUUUUUUUAAGAUUGUCAAGUUCUUAUUUUGUAAUACGACAACAACAAAAAAAAAUAAUCAUUUUUUUCCCCCAGUUUCUACCUUGGCUGGGUCCACGUAUGGCUACCAGUCUAAUUAUAUAAGUGAAUCAGUGAUAAUUAAGCAUCAGUAAAAUAAAGACUCAUUGGCCAGAACAGCAGCUCAUUGGCGAUAACAGCAGCUCAUUGGCCAGAUAAGCAGCUCAUUGGGCUGGCAGCCAUUUUCCUAUUUGGUUCAUAUGAUAAACAGAAGAAGCGGAUGUUCAUUGUUAGUGCCACACAAUUGAAUCCCAUUGAACUUCGAGAUAAGUAAUAUUGCUCUAGGCUAUUGAAAAGGCCUUGAAAUUAUAGUUAAGUGUUUCCGCAUUGUGACUGUUAUUUCUGUGUAUCACUGCAUCCAUGUCAGUGUUCUUUCAUAGCCAGUCAUUG